rnacentral:rRNA from 1 species
GACGAACGCUGGCGGCGUGCUUAACACAUGCAAGUCGAACGGAAAGGCCCUGCUUUUGUGGGGUGCUCGAGUGGCGAACGGGUGAGUAACACGUGAGUAACCUGCCCUUGACUCUGGGAUAACUUCAGGAAACUGGGGCUAAUACCGGAUAGGAGCUCCUGCUGCAUGGUCGGGGUUGGAAAGUUUCGGCGGUUGGGGAUGGACUCGCGGCUUAUCAGCUUGUUGGUGGGGUAGUGGCUUACCAAGGCUUUGACGGGUAGCCGGCCUGAGAGGGUGACCGGCCACAUUGGGACUGAGAUACGGCCCAGACUCCUACGGGAGGCAGCAGUGGGGAAUAUUGCACAAUGGGCGGAAGCCUGAUGCAGCAACGCCGCGUGCGGGAUGACGGCCUUCGGGUUGUAAACCGCUUUCGCCUGUGACGAAGCGUGAGUGACGGUAAUGGGUAAAGAAGCACCGGCUAACUACGUG